rnacentral:rRNA from 1 species
ACGCUGGCGGCGCGCUUAACACAUGCAAGUCGAGCGUAUGAAAUUUUAACAGAACCCUUCGGGGCGAAGAUAAAAUGGAUUAGCGGCGGACGGGUGAGUAACACGUGAGUAACCUGCCUUAGACAUUGGGAUAGCCUCGGGAAACCGGGAUUAAUACCGAAUAACAUCACAUAGACACAUGUCCUUGUGAUCAAAACUCCGGUGGUCUAAGAUGGACUCGCGUCCCAUUAGCUAGUUGGUAGGGUAACGGCCUACCAAGGCGACGAUGGGUAGCCGGCCUGAGAGGGUGAACGGCCACAUUGGAACUGAGAAACGGUCCAAACUCCUACGGGAGGCAGCAGUGGGGAAUAUUGCACAAUGGAGGGAACUCUGAUGCAGCGACGCCGCGUGAACGAAGAAGGCUUUCGAGUCGUAAAGUUCUUUUAUAUGGGAAGAUAAUGACGGUACCAUAAGAAAAAGCCCCGGCUAACUACGUGCCAGCAGCCGCGGUAAUACGUAGGGGGCUAGCGUUGUCCGGAAUCACUGGGCGUAAAGGGUUCGCAGGCGGAAAUGCAAGUCAGGUGUAAAAGGCAGUAGCUUAACUACUGUAAGCAUUUGAAACUGCAUAUCUUGAGAAGAGUAGAGGUAAGUGGAAUUUUUAGUGUAGCGGUGAAAUGCGUAGAUAUUAAAAAGAAUACCGGUGGCGAAGGCGACUUACUGGGCUCAUUCUGACGCUGAGGAACGAAAGCGUGGGUAGCAAACAGGAUUAGAUACCCUGGUAGUCCACGCUGUAAACGAUGAGUGCUAGGUGUCGGCGUAAGUCGGUGCCGCAGUUAACACAAUAAGCACUCCGCCUGGGGAGUACGUGCGCAAGCAUGAAACUCAAAGGAAUUGACGGGGACCCGCACAAGCAGCGGAGCAUGUGGUUUNNU